GUCCACGCUGUAAACGAUGUGUGCUAGACGUUGGGGAGCCUAGCUCUUCGGUGUCGCAGCUAACGCGAUAAGCACACCGCCUGGGGAGUACGGCCGCAAGGUUAAAACUCAAAGGAAUUGACGGGGGCCCGCACAAGCGGUGGAGCAUGUGGUUUAAUUCGACGCAACGCGAAGAACCUUACCAGCCCUUGACAUGUCCCGUAUGGGUGGGGGAGACCCCAUUCUUCAGUUCGGCUGGCGGGAACACAGGUGCUGCAUGGCUGUCGU
rnacentral:rRNA from 1 species